rnacentral:rRNA from 1 species
ACUCAAAUGAAUUGACGGGGGCUCACACAAGCGGUGGAGCAUGUGGUUCAAUUCGAGGCAACGCGAAGAACCUUACCCGGGCUUGACAGCCACGGAUUAACUCUUGGAAACAGGAGCCACACCUUCGGGUGGAACGUGGUACAGGUGCUGCAUGGCUGUCGUCAGCUCGUGCUGUGAAGUGUCGGGUUAAGUCCUACAACGAGCGAAACCCCUGUCGUCAGUUGCUAACAGGUUAUGCUGAGGACUCUGACGAGACUGCCGGCGUCAAGCCGGAGGAAGGCGGGGAUGACGUCAAGUCAUCAUGGCCUUUAUGCCCGGGGCUACACACGUGCUACAAUGCCGAGUACAAACCGACGCCAAGCCGCAAGGCGGAGCAAAUCGGAAAAAACUCGGCCCAGUUCGGAUUGCGGGCUGCAAUCCGCCCGCAUGAAGCCGGAAUCGCUAGUAAUCGCGGAUCAGCGAUGCCGCGGUGAAUGUGUUCCUGAGCCUUGUACACACCGCCCGU